rnacentral:rRNA from 1 species
GUAACACGUGAGAAAUCUGCCCCGAACUUCGGAAUAACAGUUGGAAACGGCUGCUAAUACCGGAUGCCGUUACGAAGUGGCAUCACUAUGUAACGAAAGAAUUUCGGUUCGGGAGAAUCUCGCGGCCUAUCAGCUUGUUGGUGAGGUAACGGCUCACCAAGGCUACGACGGGUAGCUGGUCUGAGAGGAUGAUCAGCCACACUGGGACUGAGACACAGCCCAGACUCC